AUUGAACGCUGGCGGCAGGCCUAACACAUGCAAGUCGAACGGUAACAGGAAGAAGCUUGCUUCUUUGCUGACGAGUGGCGGACGGGUGAGUAAUGUCUGGGAAACUGCCUGAUGGAGGGGGAUAACUACUGGAAACGGUAGCUAAUACCGCAUAACGUCGCAAGACCAAAGAGGGGGACCUUCGGGCCUCUUGCCAUCGGAUGUGCCCAGAUGGGAUUAGCUAGUAGGUGGGGUAACGGCUCACCUAGGCGACGAUCCCUAGCUGGUCUGAGAGGAUGACCAGCCACACUGGAACUGAGACACGGUCCAGACUCCUACGGGAGGCAGCAGUGGGGAAUAUUGCACAAUGGGCGCAAGCCUGAUGCAGCCAUGCCGCGUGUAUGAAGAAGGCCUUCGGGUUGUAAAGUACUUUCAGCGGGGAGGAAGGGAGUAAAGUUAAUACCUUUGCUCAUUGACGUUACCCGCAGAAGAAGCACCGGCUAAAUCCGG
rnacentral:rRNA from 1 species